rnacentral:rRNA from 1 species
CCUACGUGAGGCUGCAGUGAGGAAUAUUGGUCAAUGGGCGCGAGCCUGAACCAGCCACGUAGCGUGAAGGAUGAAUGCCCUACGGGUUGUAAACUUCUUUUAUAAGGGAAUAAAGUGAGGCACGUGUGCCUUUUUGUCUGUACUUUAUGAAUAAGGAUCGGCUAACUCCGUGCCAGCAGCCGCGGUAAUACGGAGGAUCCGAGCGUUAUCCGGAUUUAUUGGGUUUAAAGGGAGCGUAGAUGGGUUGUUAAGUCAGUUGUGAAAGUUUGCGGCUCAACCGUAAAAUUGCAAUUGAUACUGGCAGUCUUGAGUACAGUUGAGGUAAGCGGAAUUCGUGGUGUAGCGGUGAGAUGCUUAGAUAUCACGAAGAACUCCGAUUGCGAAGGCAGCUUACUAAACUGUCACUGACAUUGAUGCUCGAAAGUGUGGGUAGCAAACAGGAUUAGAUACCCUAGUAGUC